AACGAACGCUGGCGGCGUGGAUAAGACAUGCAAGUCGAGCGCAAUUUAUUCGGUAGCAAUAUCGGGUAAGUUGAGCGGCGCAAGGGUGCGUAACACGUGGGUAAUUUGCCAUAAAGUUGGGGAUAACUUGCUGAAAGGCGAGCUAAUACCGAAUGUGGUUGUCGGGAGGCAUCUCCUGAUUACUGAAGUUGGGGAUCGUAAGACCUGACGCUUUAUGAUAAGCCCGCGGCCUAUCAGCUAGUUGGCGAGGUAAAAGCUCACCAAGGCUAAGACGGGUAGCUGGUCUGAGAGGACGACCAGCCACACUGGAACUGAGACACGGUCCAGACACCU
rnacentral:rRNA from 1 species